rnacentral:rRNA from 1 species
UCGCGUAAGGUCUUAGAAAGAGGGGAGAGCGAGAGAGGUGGUUCUUGUCGUUCUGGAGCUGGAGCCUCGUGGUUCCUUAGGCGGCGGCGGGCCGUUCGAGGUUACCGACCGUUCAUGUAGCAGCGGCCGGAGCAGCCGAGGACACAGUAGAGCAUGCGAACACUGAUGUAGCAAAGAGUCUUCUUCUAGAAGCCACCGUGGUAGGGUCCCUGACACAGGCUGUUCCUCACCAACUUCCGCUGCCUCGUCUCCAAGGUCCGGACCGGGGCCCAGCGACCCGGCGGCCAGUAGUACUUGGGGUAGUCGGCGGUCUUGAAGUAGCAGUUCCUGGAGUUGGGGACUCCGAGUUCUGGAAUUCCUAACGCCAGCCAAGCUUGGAAAUGGGACUACCGCUACGGACAACGAUUUAGAUGGAUAUACACGACCGAAAUGAGAGCUCCGAUAAACCAGACAGAGUUAUUAAUUUAGUUGUGAUAACACAUCCCGUGGCACCAAUAUAAAGAAGACUUCUUGUCUUCUCUUGGACUUCGUAUAAACGAAACCUGAAAAACAGUAGAAAGCAAACGUAUUUGUAUACAAAUGAAAAGUUAAACACGAACAGCCUCGUAACCUCAUACACGGAACGUUUAAGUCUGGGAAAGGGAUUGAGGUCUGAUCCUAGGUCUACCGGAACAAGAGCUCUCCAAAGAAAACUCAUUACGAAUAACGAACACAACCAUUUGAGAAAAAACAAGUUUCUAAGCCAUUUUUUUUAACGGUCUCCUUUUUGCGG